CUCUGUUCGGCGGAGGGUGAGUAUGCCUAGGAUCUGCCUGGUAGUGGGGGACACGUUUCGAAAGGAACGCUUACCGCAUACUCCUACGGGAGAAAGUGGGGGAUCUUCGGACCUCACGCUAUCAGAUGAGCCUAGGUCGGAUUAGCUAGUUGGUGAGGUAAAGGCUCACCAAGGCGACGAUCCGUAACUGGUCUGAGAGGAUGAUCAGUCACACUGGAACUGAGACACGGUCCAGACUCCUACGAGGCAGCAGGAAUAUUGACAAUGGGCGAAGCCUGAUCCACCAUGCCGCGUGUGUGAAGAAGGUCUUCGGAUUGUAAAGCACUUUAAGUUGAGGAAGGGCAGUAAGUUAAUACCUUGCUGUUUGACGUUACCAACAGAAUAAGCACCGGCUAACUUCGUGCCAGCAGCCGCGGUAAUACGAAGGUGAGCGUUAAUCGGAAUUACUGGGCGUAAAGCGCGCGUAGUGGUCGUUAAGGGAUGUGAAAGCCCCGGGCUCACCUGGGAACUGCUAAUGAGCUAGAUAUGGAAGGUGGAAUUCGGAGCAAUG
rnacentral:rRNA from 2 species